GACGAACGCUGGCGGCGUGCUUAACACAUGCAAGUCGAACGGUGAAGCGAGUGCUUGCACUCGUGGAUCAGUGGCGAACGGGUGAGUAACACGUGAGUAACCUGCCCAUCACUCUGGGAUAAGCACUGGAAACGGUGUCUAAUACUGGAUACGACCAACCCUUGCAUGGGGUGUUGGUGGAAAGAUUUAUCGGUGAUGGAUGGACUCGCGGCCUAUCAGCUUGUUGGCGGGGUAAUGGCCCACCAAGGCGACGACGGGUAGCCGGCCUGAGAGGGUGACCGGCCACACUGGGACUGAGACACGGCCCAGACUCCUACGGGAGGCAGCAGUGGGGAAUAUUGCACAAUGGGCGAAAGCCUGAUGCAGCGACGCCGCGUGAGGGAUGACGGCCUUCGGGUUGUAAACCGCUUUCAGCAGGGAAGAAGCGAAAGUGACGGUACCUGCAGAAGAAGCACCGGCUAACUACGUG
rnacentral:rRNA from 1 species